rnacentral:tRNA from 1 species
GGAGAGGUGGCGGAAUUGGUAGACGCGCUACUUUGAGGGGGUAGUGAAAAUUGUUUCGUGGGAGUUCGAGUCUCCUCCUCUUCACAA